rnacentral:rRNA from 1 species
GAACACGGAGCUUGCUCUGUGGGAUCAGUGGCGAACGGGUGAGUAACACGUGAGCAACCUGCCCCUGACUCUGGGAUAAGCGCUGGAAACGGCGUCUAAUACUGGAUAUGUGACGUGAUCGCAUGGUCUGCGUCUGGAAAGAAUUUCGGUUGGGGAUGGGCUCGCGGCCUAUCAGCUUGUUGGUGAGGUAAUGGCUCACCAAGGCGUCGACGGGUAGCCGGCCUGAGAGGGUGACCGGCCACACUGGGACUGAGACACGGCCCAGACUCCUACGGGAGGCAGCAGUGGGGAAUAUUGCACAAUGGGCGCAAGCCUGAUGCAGCAACGCCGCGUGAGGGAUGACGGCCUUCGGGUUGUAAACCUCUUUUAGCAGGGAAGAAGCGAAAGUGACGGUACCUGCAGAAAAAGCGCCGGCUAACUACGUGCCAGCAGCCGCGGUAAUACGUAGGGCGCAAGCGUUAUCCGGAAUUAUUGGGCGUAAAGAGCUCGUAGGCGGUUUGUCGCGUCUGCUGUGAAAUCCGGAGGCUCAACCUCCGGCCUGCAGUGGGUACGGGCAGACUAGAGUGCGGUAGGGGAGAUUGGAAUUCCUGGUGUAGCGGUGGAAUGCGCAGAUAUCAGGAGGAACACCGAUGGCGAAGGC